GGAGCGGCGGACGGGUUAGUAACGCGUGGGAACGUACCCAGAUCUAAGGAAUAGCCACUGGAAACGGUGAGUAAUACCUUAUACGCCCUUCGGGGGAAAGAUUUAUCGGAUUUGGAUCGGCCCGCGUUAGAUUAGAUAGUUGGUGGGGUAACGGCCUACCAAGUCUACGAUCUAUAGCUGGUUUUAGAGGAUGAUCAGCAACACUGGGACUGAGACACGGCCCAGACUCCUACGGGAGGCAGCAGUGGGGAAUCUUGGACAAUGGGCGCAAGCCUGAUCCAGCCAUGCCGCGUGAGUGAUGAAGGCCUUAGGGUCGUAAAGCUCUUUCGCCUGUGAAGAUAAUGACGGUAGCAGGUAAAGAAACCCCGGCUAACUCCGUGCCAGCAGCCGCGGUAAUACGGAGGGGGUUAGCGUUGUUCGGAAUUACUGGGCGUAAAGCGCACGUAGGCGGACUGGAAAGUUGGGGGUGAAAUCCCAGGGCUCAACCCUGGAACUGCCUCCAAAACUAUCAGUCUAGAGUUCGAGAGAGGUGAGUGGAAUUCCGAGUGUAGAGGUGAAAUUCGUAGAUAUUCGGAGGAACACCAGUGGCGAAGGCGGCUCACUGGCUCGAUACUGACGCUGAGGUGCGAAAGUGUGGGGAGCAAACAGGAUUAGAUACCCUGGUAGUCCACACCGUA
rnacentral:rRNA from 1 species